GUUCCGGAAGCACAGACGGAUGUUCAACCGCCUGUUAAGCGGAAGGGCGCAGGUUCGAGUCCUGUCCGGCACA
rnacentral:tRNA from 1 species